rnacentral:rRNA from 1 species
GACAGAGGGUGCAAACGUUGUUCGGAAUUACUGGGCUUAAAGGGUGCGUAGGCGGUGCGGAAAGUAGGGUGUGAAAUCCCUCGGCUCAACCGAGGAACAGCGCUCUAAACUACCGUGCUUGAGGGAGAUAGAGGUAAGCGGAACUUCGGGUGGAGCGGUGGAAAUGCGUUGAUAUCCGAAGGAACACCGGUGGCGAAAGACGGCUUACUGGAUCUUCUCUGACGCUGAGGCACGAAAGCUAGGGUAGCAAACGGG